ACUGCUCCUAGAGGCAUUGCAGGUCUUGCUGCUAUGUCACAUGUGCAUCAUUAGGUGGCAGAGAAGAGAGAGAGGCCACCUCAGUGUUCUGACUUGUGAACAUCUGGAUGAUUAGUAGCCUGACAUU